rnacentral:snRNA from 1 species
AUCGCUUCUCGGCCUUUUGGCUAAGAUCAAGUGUAG